AACGAACGCUGGCGGCAGGCUUAACACAUGCAAGUCGAACGGACGUAGCAAUACGUCAGUGGCAGACGGGUGAGUAACGCGUGGGAAUAUGCCCUUUAGUUCGGAAUAACUCAGGGAAACUUGAGCUAAUACCGGAUAAGCCCGAGGGGGGAAAGAUUUAUCGCUGAAGGAGUAGCCCGCGUCUGAUUAGCUAGUUGGUGAGGUAAUGGCUCACCAAGGCGACGAUCAGUAGCUGGUCUGAGAGGAUGAUCAGCCACACUGGGACUGAGACACGGCCCAGACUCCUACGGGAGGCAGCAGUGGGGAAUAUUGGACAAUGGGGGCAACCCUGAUCCAGCCAUGCCGCGUGAGUGAUGAAGGCCUUAGGGUUGUAAAACUCUUUUAUCCGGGAAGAUAAUGACUGUACCGGAAGAAUAAGCCCCGGCUAACUUCGUGCCAGCCGCCGCAGUAACAC
rnacentral:rRNA from 1 species